rnacentral:rRNA from 1 species
AUGCAUGCUCGAGCGGCCCCCAUUGAGAUAUCUGCAGAAUCGGCUUAGAGUUUUCUGCUCAGAACGAAAGCUGGCGGCAGGCCUAACACAUGCAAGGUCGAGCGCACUCUUCGGAGUGAGCGGCGGACGGGUUAGUAACGCGUGGGAAGGUACCCUUCUCUAAGGAAUAGCCUCGGGAAACUGAGAGUAAUAGCUUAGACGCCCUUCGGGGGAAAGAUUUAUCGGAGAGGGAUCAGCCCGCGUAAGAUUAGAUAGUUGGUGGGGUAAUGGCCUACCAAGUCUACGAUCUUUAGCUGGUUUUAGAGGAUGAUCAGCAACACUGGGACUGAGACACGGCCCAGACUCCUACGGGAGGCAGCAGUGGGGAAUCUUGGACAAUGGGCGCAAGCCUGAUCCAGCCAUGCCGCGUGAGUGAUGAAGGCCUUAGGGUCGUAAAGCUCUUUCGCCAGGGAUGAUAAUGACAGUACCUGGUAAAGAAACCCCGGCUAACUCCGUGCCAGCAGCCGCGGUAAUACGGAGGGGGUUAGCGUUGUUCGGAAUUACUGGGCGUAAAGCGUACGUAGGCGGAUCAGAAAGUAUGGGGUGAAAUCCCAGGGCUCAACCCUGGAACUGCCUCAUAAACUCCUGGUCUAGAGUUCGAGAGAGGUGAGUGGAAUUCCGAGUGUAGAGGUGAAAUUCGUAGAUAUUCGGAGGAACACCAGUGGCGAAGGCGGCUCACUGGCUCGAUACUGACGCUGAGGUACGAAAGUGUGGGGAGCAAACAGGAUUAGAUACCCUGGUAGUCCGCACCGUAAACGAUGAAUGCCAGUCGUCGGGUAGCAUGUUAUUCGGUGACACACCUAACGGAUUAGCAUUCCGCCUGGGGAGUACGGUCGCAAGAUAAAACCAAAGAAUUAC